UUGGCAGUAAGGAAUCUGUAUUUGAAAAUAUUCCUCAGGUGAUUGCACUGAUGAGAGAUACAGGAAUGCCUGUUAUGAUGGAAAAUGGAAGAUGAUAUCCCAAGUUUAAUAUGAUUACUGGUUUUAUCCAUGAGAUUUUGUUACUGAGAUUCAUGAUGGCCAAUGCAAGAAGGCCAACAGGAUGAAAUAUGCAGUCAUGCUUGUUAAAGGAAGAAAGGCACUGUACUGGGUAGACAAUUUUUCUGUAUAAUUGGUUCUUCUCAAACCCAUUGGAUCAGACUCUGUGGUAUACUACUGCUGGCCUAUUUGAUUCUGAGCUUAGUGUAUCCAUUUAGACUUUGUGAUCUGGGUAAUUUAUUUAGUUCUAGUUCCUACCUAAUGUCUUGCCAAUUUCCCAUCUCCAUCCUUCAUCCAUCCUUCAUUCUUCCCAGCAUAAACUUAAACCACAAAACUGUCAUGGCCUGCCUUGAACACUCUGAAGCAUCUGCUGCAAUUUUUUUUUUCUGAUUUUUCAGCCCAAAGAUUAAAAUCAAACUCGUUAGCUCCACUUUGCAAACUCUGCAUUCAGCAUGUCAUUGACCAUCAAGAUUCCAAAAAUGGCAAUUUUUUUUUUUUAAACACUUAGACCUCUUGUGUAAAGAAUUGCUGAGUCAUUGUCGAAGUCUUCCCAGGAAGCUCUUUCAUUAUUGUAGGGAUUGGGGGCACUGAGCACUGUAGCUUUGGCCAUCAGGCCAUCAGGCUUGGGACCACGAGUCCUCUGGAGGAGUUCUACCACUCCCCAGUGGAAAACACGGGCUGUAGACAUUUCCUAUGUGCAAAAGGCGCUUUUGAAAUUGACGGCAGAGGGUGAAUCUCUGGUUUCCUAUCACUAUUAGGUCCUGCUUAGUCCCUUCUAAGUGUCAUCUUUGGCUGGAUAAGCUGUGAUUUCAGCCUCUGGUCCAGGAUUGAGAACCAUUGCAUGACUAAAAGUAGGAGGUAUCUUUGCCAGUUAUCACAACAUUAGCCUUUGAGAUCAGGCAAAGCGAGCAGAGGAUGGAGGCAGUGGGGUUCAGGGGCGCAAGUCUGCCACUGGGAGCCCCUCUCUGGGCUCAAGUAUCUCAUAGUAAAAUGGGAAGUUUGGAUUGCAUCAGUGUUCUCCAAAGCAUGGUAUGUUGGUAAACCAGAUGAUUUUACAUAGUCAACAGAUGAAUAUAUUCCUUUUAAUAGUUGUGUAUUUAUUUUCAUGGUUAUUGUCUAUUUAUGAUAAGCUUUGUGAAUACAAAGGAAACAAUGAUCCUUUAAAAAUAAAUUUAAGUUUAAAAUGUGGGCUUAUUUAGGAAAAAAGUAGAGAACAACAUGAAUUAUGCACAAGAUAUGCAGAGGUGGAAAAAAAUAACUAAAUGACAGUACCAUGAGAAAGACUGAAGAUGGGAAAGCAUUGGGCUAAAUGGCUGCUGAUCGUUGGGCUAGCUCUCUUACUUUUUGGCAUGUGCACAUGCCCAGCUCUGUUUCCUUAUCUAUGGAAUGCAGGGGUUGGGGUAAGUGUCCUUCCCAGUAAUUAUAUUCUAUGAUUUGUGGUGUAACUCUAUCAUGUAGAUGCUCCCUCAUUCUUAACACAAGGUUCUAGUAUUUUUACACUCCUGAUAUUCAUGAAAAGGGAGGACAUUAGUUUCUUAGGGCUGCUAUAAUGAAUGAUCACAAACUUGGUGGCUUAAAACAACAAAAAAUUUAUUUUCUCACAAUUCUGGAGGCCAGAAGUCCAAAAUCAAGUUGUCAGCCUGGCUAUGCUUCCUCUGAAGUUUUAGGGAAGAAUCCUUCCUUGCUUCUUCCAACUUCUGGUAGCCCCAGGCAUUCUUUGGCUUGCGGCAGCAUAACUCCAAUCUCUGCCUCUACCUUCACUUGUUUCUUCUCUGUGUACGACUCUCUGUUUCCUCUUAAAAGGACACUGGUCACUGGAUUUAGGGGCAACCCUAGUCCGGUAUGAUCUAAUCCCAAUCCUUAACUAAUUAAGUAUGCAAAGGCGCUAUUUCUGAAGCAGUUCACUUUCUGCAGUGGACAUGAAUUUUUGGGGGACUCUGUUCAACCCACCACAGGGAGACUCAUUAUUCAGUUGGUUGUUUACUCAUGUAUUUCUAACUUUCCCCAUCGUCCCCCUUGUCUGCAGAGGAUUCAGCCUGCAACCAACUGAAGUGGUGGUGGAAGGAUGAGGAAGCAGGAAUCAUUAAGAAUUGUGUGGCAAAUUGGCUCCGCCAUGGACAAGCUGUUUAAAAAAGGGCAGUGUAUAUUAAGAGGUCGAUUGCUGCAUCCCAACUGCAGUUCAAAAGGAGUUCCAGAAGACAGAGAUUACUGGGGCUUGAAAUUGUCAGAAAAAAUCUCCCUGGAGGUGGAGGGUCCUGAGGUGCACCUGGAAGAAAGAACAAAUUAUGGAUAGCAGAAAGAAAACCGCCAACUUUGCAAUUUAAUGCAAACCGUCUCUGCUAUAUUUGCCCUGAAGGAUGCUGGAGGGAGAAACAGGAGCCAGAAUCCAUUUCAUCCCCUCUUCCCUGACGUCUACUAUUACAAUGCACUUACUGCUAAUACAGCAUCUCAACUUGCAAUCUCGUUACAGACUUGCAGGCAAGAAGGCAUGUCGAAUCCAAGUCUCAGCACCACGGCUGUGUUAACUUGGGCUUUCAUAACAGCUUCAAAUGGAAAACUCUGAAGUAAGUGAACUUAAAAGAAGAACUGAAAACUCAGUCCGAUGCCCUGAAGUCCCGUGGGUAGCCUUGCCACAAUACCGGCUCUUGGUGGAACUCAUUAGUGAAGGCUGUUCUCAUCGGCGCCGCUGAGGUCGGGGACGCCAGGGCUGCCCGGCUUUGAGCCGGCUCCCGAGCGCUCCGCGCUUUCUCAGGGCUGCGGAGGGCCUCGGGGACGCAGGAGCCACGCCUGGAGGCCGGAGCGCACCGAGCGCUCCCAGGGUCUGUGCAGCCCCGCAGGGCCCCGGCUCCGCGCCGAUCCCACUGUGCAGCCGGCGCCGCGGAGCAAAUUACAUCUGAGCCGCCUUUCAAGCCACCGGCCGCUUUCAAAACGGGACUUUGAAAGGGUGGGCUCCGCAGACUCUGAACUGGAGAACGGAACUCGGCUUUUCUGGGAGGGUGGGUUGACGCAGACGUGCCUGCCUCUCUGGCUCUCGCCUGGCGUUUAUAGCGAGGAUGAAAGGAAGAAGACGUUGGUGGGUGUUCUGUGCACCGUUUCCAUCGCUUUAUUUACGAAGGAAAUGUUCCGACGACUCCGGGAUUCUGACUGGCCAUUGGGAAUGAAUGGGACUAUUUAAAGUAAGGGGAUUGAAAGCUUUUCUUUGGAAUACACACAUGCGCGCGCUUUCUUUUUGUCCCCUCCUCUUAAAUCUCAGAUGGUUUCAUUGUACUUAGGGCUCCAAUUCCAUUGGAGGAGGGGUAGAUCAUACAGAUACAUGAAAACUGGAACUGAAUGGUUCAGCCCUGUUUGGGGCUUGGACAUACUAUUUCUAUUAGAGAAGGGAGAGAGUAGCUGUCACUCAAUCCCUCCUGCCUCGUUUUUGCCCCUUUUGGCACCUGGAUGAAUGGCCCCUCUUUUCACACAGCAGGAGGUGAAGUAGAGAGAGAGAGUGUGGAGAACAGAGGCUCUGGAACCAGGCAGUUGGGUCUGAGUUUUCUGCAAGUCACUUAUUGUGAAAGUGCCUGACAAUAGUAGCUCUUCAGCCUUUUCUGUCAAUAACACAUUUCCAGUAAAGUGGCCUUUUGACUUUUUGUCUUGGGCCUGCUCUUACUCCCAUUUAUGUCAUUUCCUUCUUUGCACAAAUGUUGAGUUUCCAACAAUUCAUGAGUCCCUGGUGCUUUCGUUAGCACAAACUCUUAUUUGUAGUACUCUUUCUUAGUGCAACCACCUUAAUAUUCUCAUACCUACUUUUAAAACUCACUUUCUUCCAAGUUCUAAUCCUCUUCACAUGUGGCUGGCACACAAUUCUUCUGUUUUCAGAGCAUGGCUCCACUUGGAGGACUUCCAAAGCCAUUUAGCACGUCGUACUGACUUGGAAAGGAAUAAGUACUGUACCCUAGGACACUCCUCAGAUGGUGGAUUACUUAUUCCAGGUAUCUGAGGAAGAUUGUCAAUAAAUUAGCAUCAGCCUGGAAGAAAGGGAAUAUGGAAUCAGUGUGCUAGUUGUUUUUUUUUAAUGUAAUUUUAUUGAGAUAUAUUCACACACCAUACAGUCCAUCCAAAGUAGACAAUCUGUGGUUCACAGUAUCAUCACAUAGCUGUACA